UGUCAUGGAGUCGCUCUCUUCA
ensembl:miRNA mir-46 ncRNA